rnacentral:rRNA from 1 species
GAUGAACGCUGGCGGCGUGCCUAAUACAUGCAAGUCGAACGCUGAAGGAGGAGCUUGCUCUUCUGGAUGAGUUGCGAACGGGUGAGUAACCCGUAGGUAACCUGCCUGGUAGCGGGGGAUAACUAUUGGAAACGAUAGCUAAUACCGCAUGACAACAGUUAUUGCAUGAUAACUGUUUCAAAGGGGUAACUGCUCCACUACCAGAUGGACCUGCGUUGUAUUAGCUAGUUGGUGAGGUAACGGCUCACCAAGGCGACGGAACAUAGCCGGGCUGGGCGGGAGAAACGCCAAACUUGGAACGGGAAAACGCCCAGAAUUCCACGGGAGGGAGCAGGAGGGAAACUUCGGCAAUGGACGGAAGUCUGAACGAGGAACGCCGGGUGAGUGAAGAAGGGUUUCGGGUUGUAAAGCUCUGUUGUAAGGGAAGAAAGAGUGUGAGAGUGAAAAGGGCACGCUGUGACGGUACCGUAACAGAAAGCAACGGCUAACUACGUG